rnacentral:rRNA from 1 species
UCCAGACUCCUACGGGAGGCAGCAGUGAGGAAUAUUGGUCAAUGGGCGGGAGCCUGAACCAGCCAAGCCGCGUGAAGGAAGAAGGCGCCAGGCGUCGUAAACUUCUUUUGUCGGGGAACAAAGGGCGCCACGCGUGGCGUUGUGAGUGUACCCGAAGAAAAAGCAUCGGCUAACUCCGUGCCAGCAGCCGCGGUAAAACGGGGGAUGCAAGCGUUAUCCGGAUUUAUUGGGUUUAAAGGGAGCGUAGAUGGGUUGUUAAGUCAGUUGUGAAAGUUUGCGGCUCAACCGUAAAAUUGCAAUUGAUACUGGCAGCCUUGAGUACAGUUGAGGCGGGCGGAAUUCGUGGUGUAGCGGUGAAUUGCUUAGAUAUCACGAAGAACUCCGAUUGCGAAGGCAGCCUACUAAACUGCCACUGACAUUGAUGCUCGAAAGUGUGGGUAUCAAACAGGAUUAGAUCCCCCAGUA